UACGUUUUAUUAGUUAAUUACUUAUUACAUGUACAAUGGAAAACGCAUUUUCGAAACGUCUAUCUCUCUUUCAAACAAAUCCACGCUAUUUCACAUUUCACUCCCGUCAAAGAACACUCCAAUCACAGCACAGAGCGCUUUAUUUAAUCCGAUUACAGAUGUUACCCGUAAACGCUACACCAACUCAGUCAAACGAACGUAUCCUUCGAAUGUGAAAUCAGAAGAAGGAGGAAGUAAAUAAAUAAAUGGAACACGAAGAAAGACACACGUUUGAUCGCCUCACUCUCGUUCAACCCUCUAUUUUGUGGUGGUAUCACUCUGCUCCAGAACCCGCUUUGAACUACUUUACAUAAUAAACCUCAUGUCCGAACGGCGCAAGGAGACGUUCAACCUAAUUCAUGACAGUGCCAUCGUGCCAAGUGGCUGACAUCAAUUAAAUAAAGAUUCUGACACAUGUCAAGGUUGCUCCAAGUUGCACCUCGUCAACGCAUCGUGUCGCUCUGGCAUCGACGACGAUGAUACUACUUUACAUAAACCGUGUUAGGUUUCUUCGUCCCUUGACCGCGAGCGACUGCUCGUUAAAGAAUCAUGCUCGUUUAUGUAA